UACGUAGGCAGCAAGCGUUGUUCGGAAUUACUGGGCGUAAAGAGUGUGUAGGCGGUGCUCUAAGUCUGUUGUGAAAUCUCCCGGCUUAACCGGGAGGGUGCGGCGGAAACUGGAGUGCUUGAGGGUGGGAGAGGUAAGCGGAAUUCCUGGUGUAGCGGUGAAAUGCGUAGAUAUUCGGAGGAACACCAGUGGCGAAGGCGGCUUACUGGUCCAUUACUGACGCUGAGGUGCGAAAGCGUGGGGAGCAAACAGG
rnacentral:rRNA from 1 species